rnacentral:rRNA from 1 species
UACGGGGGGAGCAAGCGUUGUUCGGAUUUACUGGGCGUAAAGGGCGCGUAGGCGGCCACCGCAAGUCGGUUGUGAAAUCUCUGGGCUUAACCCAGAAAGGUCAACCGAUACUGCGGGGCUAGAGUGCAGAAGGGGCAACUGGAAUUCUCGGUGUAGCGGUGAAAUGCGCAGAUAUCGGGAGGAACACCUAUGGCGAAGGCAGCUCGCUGGGACGGUACUGACGCUAAGGCGCGAAAGCGUGGGGAGCGAACAGG